UAAGGAAUAUUGCUCAAUGGGAGAAAUCCUGAAGCAGCAACGCCGCGUGGAGGAUGAAGGGUCUAUGACUUGUAAACUCCUGUAAAGAAGGAAAAAAUUCCCAUUUGAUGGGAGAUGAUGGUACUUCUGGAGUAAGCCCCGGCUAACUACGUGCCAGCAGCCGCGGUAAUACGUAGGGGGCAAGCGUUGUCCGGAUUUACUGGGUGUAAAGGGUGCUCAGGCGGAUUUGUAAGUCAGAGGUGAAAUCUUACAGCUUAACUGUGAAACUGCCUUUGAUACUGCAAGCCUAGAGUAUGGAAGAGAGUGAUGGAAUAUCUGGUGUAGCAGUGAAAGGCGUAGAUAUCAGAUAGAACACCAAUGGCGAAGGCAGUCACUUGGUCCAUUACUGACGCUAAAGCACGAAAGCGUGGGUAGCAAACA
rnacentral:rRNA from 1 species